rnacentral:tRNA from 1 species
GUGGCAGUAGCUCAGUUGGUUAGAGCACUGGAUUGUGGUUCCGGGGGUCGCGCGUUCGAGCCGCGUUUGCCACCCCA